UUUAAAUUGAGAGUUUGAUCCUGGCGCAGGACGAACGCUGGCGGCGUGCCUAACACAUGCAAGUCGAGCGAUGAAACUUUCUUCGGGAAGUGGAUUAGCGGCGGACGGGUGAGUAACACGUGGGUAACCUGCCUCAAAGAGUGGGAUAGCCUUCCGAAAGGGAGAUUAAUACCGCAUAACAUUAUUUUAUGGCAUCAUAAAAUAAUCAAAGGAGCAAUCCGCUUUGAGAUGGACCCGCGGCGCAUUAGCUAGUUGGUGAGGUAACGGCUCACCAAGGCAACGAUGCGUAGCCGACCUGAGAGGGUGAUCGGCCACAUUGGAACUGAGACACGGUCCAGACUCCUACGGGAGGCAGCAGUGGGGAAUAUUGCGCAAUGGGGGAAACCCUGACGCAGCAACGCCGCGUGAGUGAUGAAGGUUUUCGGAUCGUAAAACUCUGUCUUUAGGGACGAUAAUGACGGUACCUAAGGAGGAAGCCACGGCUAACUACGUGCCAGCAGCCGCGGUAAUACGUAGGUGGCAAGCGUUGUCCGGAUUUACUGGGCGUAAAGAGUAUGUAGGUGGGUGCUUAAGUCAGAUGUGAAAUUCCCGGGCUCAACCUGGGAGCUGCAUUUGAAACUGGGCAUCUAGAGUGCAGGAGAGGAAAGUGGAAUUCCUAGUGUAGCGGUGAAAUGCGUAGAGAUUAGGAAGAACACCAGUGGCGAAGGCGACUUUCUGGACUGUAACUGACACUGAGAUACGAAAGCGUGGGUAGCAAACAGGAUUAGAUACCCUGGUAGUCCACGCCGUAAACGAUGAAUACUAGGUGUCGGGGGGUACCACCCUCGGUGCCGCAGCAAACGCAUUAAGUAUUCCGCCUGGGGAGUACGGUCGCAAGAUUAAAACUCAAAGGAAUUGACGGGGACCCGCACAAGCAGCGGAGCAUGUGGUUUAAUUCGAAGCAACGCGAAGAACCUUACCUAGACUUGACAUCUCCUGAAUUACUCUUAAUCGAGGAAGUCCCUUCGGGGACAGGAAGACAGGUGGUGCAUGGUUGUCGUCAGCUCGUGUCGUGAGAUGUUGGGUUAAGUCCCGCAACGAGCGCAACCCUUAUUGUUAGUUGCUACUAUUAAGUUAAGCACUCUAACGAGACUGCCGCGGUUAACGUGGAGGAAGGUGGGGAUGACGUCAAAUCAUCAUGCCCCUUAUGUCUAGGGCUACACACGUGCUACAAUGGCUGGUACAA
rnacentral:rRNA from 1 species